rnacentral:lncRNA from 1 species
GAAUAAGCCUGGCCUCAGGGAGGAACGGGGGACCCCGAGCACCCUGAAAAGCUGCCCCCCCAGACCUUAGAAACUACUGCAGACCAGGCAGUCUAUAAGGACAUCAUAAUUGGGUACCACCUUUGCUCUCCAUCCAAAACUGGAGGGGAGGGGCCAUAGGAAAGUGUGCUGAUUCCAGGGGCCUGCAGAUUGCCUUUGGCACCAAUGAGAACUGAACACGUUCCUGGGCAACCCUUGAGUUGUUCCUCUCCUGGGUGGUAGGAUCUUCAUUGGAAGAUGGGACUAGUCCUCCAUUCACCAGUGGAAGGAAGGAAACCAGACAGACGUUGGUGGCACACACCUGUAAUCCCAGCACUCGGGAGGCAGAGGCAGGAGGAUCUCUAACACCCUGAGCCUGAGGUUCUGACCCUGUUUCUCUGAGAAUGACCCACCCGUGUCUCCUGUUGCUUCCAACACUCUGCAGCGAAUGUCACUGUAGCUAGUCUUCAUGCCAGGUCGAUGGAGACAGGCUUGACGAUUCUUUGCCACAAACAAGUCUCUCCUAGCUUUGACUAGCCGUCGUUGGAUGCCAGGGAAUGGAAGCUACCGAACAAGCCUCAUGAGCAGAAAUUUCACAAGAAAACAGCCAAAUCGUUAAGCACAGAUUCUUCACAGUGGAUUGCUGAGGAUGGGCCAUGAGCAGACAAGUGGGCAGCAAGGAUGCAGAGGCGGCAGAAGAGACUGGGGACACACGACACGGAAGACACGGAAGACACGGAAGACACGGAAGACACAGACGACCUGGACAUCUCAUCCACAGGACACAGACCAAGACAUCUCAUCCACACGGCACAGACAACCCAGACAUCUCAUCCACACGACACAGACAACCCAGACAUCUCAUCCACACGACACAGACAACUCAGACAUCUCAUCCACACGACACAGACAACUCAGACAUCUCAUCCACACGACACAGACAACUCAGACAUCUCAUCCACACGACACAGACGACACAGACAUCUCAUCCACACGACACAGACAGACCGGGACAUCUCAUCCACACGACACAGACCGGGACAUCUCAUCCACACGGCACAGACAACCCAGACAUCUCAUCCACACGGCACAGACUCACAUCUCAUUUCUCCAGACCCUCCUCCUUCACGACUCCUCGAACCAGCACCAGUUUUGCAUGCCAUUGUUUCCUUAUCUCAGUCUUUUCACGCCCAACCCAGGGCAAAAGGCUUUCCAUUCAGAAAUAAAGAACUGACGGUAUCAGUCACCUGACCCAGCAGGUGGAAGCCAGCAUUGCGGUCUUCCUCUCUUUCCUCCCCUCUAGCCCAAGUCCAGGGCGGAUGCGCCUUUCUAGGUUAGAUCUACUCUCUCC